rnacentral:rRNA from 1 species
GAUGAGCGCUGGCGGCGCGCUUAACACAUGCAAGUCGAACGGGAAUUAUUUUAUUGAAACUUCGGUCGAUUUAAUUUAAUUCUAGUGGCGGACGGGUGAGUAACGCGUGGGUAACCUGCCUUAUACAGGGGGAUAACAGUCAGAAAUGGCUGCUAAUACCGCAUAAGCGCACAGAGCUGCAUGGCUCAGUGUGAAAAACUCCGGUGGUAUAAGAUGGACCCGCGUUGGAUUAGCUGGUUGGUGGGGUAACGGCCCACCAAGGCGACGAUCCAUAGCCGGCCUGAGAGGGUGAACGGCCACAUUGGGACUGAGACACGGCCCAGACUCCUACGGGAGGCAGCAGUGGGGAAUAUUGCACAAUGGGGGAAACCCUGAUGCAGCGACGCCGCGUGAAGGAAGAAGUAUCUCGGUAUGUAAACUUCUAUCAGCAGGGAAGAUAGUGACGGUACCUGACUAAGAAGCCCCGGCUAACUACGUG